GCAGGCUGUCUAAAUCACUUGUCAGCACAAGGGAAGGAGGUGACACAGUGGGAGGAAAAAGUGAGAUGCGGCUACGGCCCACUAUAAACGCUCCGGCAGCUGGGCAGUGCUGUUAGCGGGAGAGUCCCCAGCAAGCGACAACUGCUCACCUUGCUCAAAUGUUGAGGUCUAACCCAGGCAACACACAGGGACCAGCUUGUCUCCUUUGAUUUACGCUCGAUUCCUCCAACACUACAACCCUGCAUCCUGUUUUCCUUAUCCGCUGCAGCUGUACAUGGAGGUGAGGGCUUCAAAAGACCUUGUGAGAGGAAUUUCUUUUGAAACCAAAAAUAGCCUGUCAUGAUUUUAUUAUUAUUUUUGGUCAGUAUGUCACAAUCUUAAAUUUAUCACUGAUCUGUAGCUGAAUUGACAUACAGGAAACCUAUCUAAUCACGAGCUGGAGGGCACAGGGCAGAGCGAGUUCACCGGCCACACUUGAACAACGUCUGGCUGGAAAUAUCAUUUUCAACUGCUCUUUGAUGAGGUAACAUCAAGAAGCAAAGCGACUGCACAUGCCACACAGGCCAAUGCCAAAUGGUUUGCAGGGCCAGUCAAUGCCGCAUUGAGGAAAGCGGAAACAUUUGCAAAAUCGGUCAAAAAUGAAUUAGAUGUGUUUAAAGCAAUUACUUUCCAGACUGUUUACUCUGCAUGACACAAAUAUGAUCGGCCUGUCCUUAGAGGCCUUCACGGACUUGACCCGAUGGAUGUGGUGAUGCCUAAUCCUGCCCUCACUGACGCCGCCUGGAGUGGAUCCUUGGACUGCAGAAGGAACAACCCCUCGUGGAGAUGGCAGGCGGUGGAGUCAAUGUGGAGCCACAAGCCCAGCGCCGUCAGAAGCUGGUGUGAGCAUCGUGCCUCUCCAGCGAGCCCACACCCACCAGAGCUUCCCAGGAUUUUACUGGAAAUAGCCAUGCCUGCUUCUUGCGAGCAUGUUAAAAACUACCUGCCAGGUUCAGCCGACAUAAAUCCCCAUAAAUUCAUUCACCAACUUUAUUCCUGGAGAACUGCUGCUUAAUGCUCUGUUUCUUCAGAGCUGCAAUUUCUCUCAGUUUAUUUUAACGAUGGUGCCUCGCUCUCAGUUUCACCACACACGUCCUCUAUAUUGCUCAAAAGGCACUGAUGAACACAAGCUGUAUUACCAGAAAUCACAUUCCUGUUCCUGUUCCUUGGCUCAUUUCUCCCUCAUUUCCCAUUACCUUCCUAUUUUAAGGCUGCAUGCGUGACAUGCCUGUCAGCUAGAUCCACUCAAAUAUUUAUCCAGUGAUUUAAUCAGUGAAUUUCAUGGUAGGUUGCUAACUACAUUGAUGAUUUUCUCCUCAUUCACAUAGCUUGUGUUGCAGUGCGUUAGGGAGCUGGAAGGCUGCAGGUUCAUGGGAAUGUCUGAACUCAAUGAAGUCUCUAAACUGCAAAGAAUUUCUUUUUUUCCUUGCAGCCCUGAGGCCUGUGAUGUGCCUCGCCUGCGUGUUGCGCUGAAGGGGAAGGGGAAAGUGCCUGAGAUUGCUGACACUAGGGCAUCAAUGUGACCCUGUGUCGGUCUCAGCUGUGGGCCAACCUCUGGCGCACACCGAGGGAAAAGCAAACAGAAGAGGGGUAAAGUCCGCUGAAACAGAGAGUGAGGGAUUUUAGCUUUAAAUUUCAGAGGACAUCCCCUUCUUUUCCCCUUUCCAAUCCCCAGCCUGUCUAAAGGAGGGGGAAAAUUUCAGGAUAGAGAAACUGCAGUCUUUCAUAUGAGAGUAUUCAUCCCAAAGAAAGCUCAUUCUUAAGCCAAUCCCAGCUUCCAGUCUAGAACAACUUCAGGAGACAUGCUGAACCUGCAGACUAUGCUUCUGAAGCCCACCGUGAUCUCAGGCUGGAGCACUCCCAGACAGAAUAAGCUCCUCAGAGGCAGGCGCCAAGGCUGAGCCCCCCAAAGCAUCCCCCUGUGUGCCCCAGGAUUGCUGAGCCCCGGGGUCUGGUGGUUUGGCCAGUCAGCCCUUUCCUCACCUCAAAAUGGGGCCUCAAAGAAAGGGAGGAGCGAGAAGUGGCACCCUUUUAUAGUGUGAGUAACAGCUCAGCAAUACGUCCCCCCGGGGCAAGGCAUGCUCCACACUCAGUGAUUUCAAAAGAAGGUUUGAAAAAAAAAGAAAGAAAGAAAGAAUGAGGAACUAACUCAACACACCCUGUAGUCUGAGGACAUGUUGGACCGAUCUCUCCUAGCCAUAGCUGGAAGGCAUCCUGUGUCAUCUGAGGGAGGGCUACUGGGUGAGUACAAACACGCCACAUCACAGGCUUCCCUGUCUGUCAAGGGAGUGCUUUCCACCACACGCACAACGGCAGAGUGGGAAUUAGCCCAAGAAGAGCGGGUGACAGCACUCAGUCUUGCCCUGGCCACAGGGACACGCAGCGUUGGAGGUGGCCGGCAGCUGAUUCCUGCACGGUGGAGCAGCUAGCUGUGGGGCUGCCCUCCCAUUUCCUCCGCUUCCUACCGCCUGCUUUAGCGCCUGCCCCUCCACUCCUCCCUUGGCUUUUUUUUUCUCUUAGGGAAAAGUAUAGUUUGCCCCUAAUUUUUAGAAAUGACCCUGGUUUUAUUUAAAUCUGUCAUUUCCUAUCCCCAUGGUUACUCCUAAUUCAACACCGUAAAGAAUUUGCCUCCUUGACGAUGUCUAGGAAAUGUCUUUGUUUAAGCCUGCUCUGCCAACCCACUGACAUAACCUAAGCUCUCAAAUAUCUGUUUCCUCGCACACAGGUGUCAUUCCUCUGGAUCUUUUCAGUUCUACCGCUAAACUGUAUCCCAUUUAUUCUGGUUAUCUAGAAAUCCUCCCUUUCCCUCCAGCCCUGUCCACCUUUCAUCCCAACCAUCUGGAAGACUGCUGUUAGGCAAUGCUAUCUCGGUCUAAUUUGUAAGAAAUAAUUGAUUUAUUACUGCUACAUACCUUUCCUGAUUUUCCUGGGCAUGGCAGAAAUAACAGGCUGUUCCAGUCUUGAAGAAUUUCAUGUAAAUUGCAUUCACAUACAACAUAUCUCAGCAAUAAGGGGACCUGAGCUCAAAGGAAGCCGCAUCAUAUCUUAACUCUCUGGAGUUUUGGGGGUUUAUUUUAAUAAUAUCCUGACUCUAGCAUAUACAAUCCACGGUAUUUGCCAAGCUUAAAACAACAGCCACAGGAGGAUCCUGUCGUACGUUUUGCAACCGGUUCUCACAUCAACAGAGCGCUGAUCCUACAUGGAAUUCAUUCCACAUUUUAUUCAUUAUCUGAAUGAGUUAUCAAGACAGCUCGCUGCCUGGCUGGAGGUACCAACAUAGUGCAGACAGAUUUUUUCCCACAGAACUCUCCGAAGCGAUACUGUCAGCAUAGCUAUAUUUAAUGGGCUCUACCCAUGCAGUCAAUCUCUCAGUGCAGAAGAAAUAGUUUACAGUCUCUGAAACCCUACACUCCUCUCUGCCACAGAGCAGGAAAAAGUAACAUCUACCCUCAUUCCUUUUGCAUGUCGCUGGAUUCAGGGGGAAGGGAAGCUAAUGAGACAAUGAGGACAUUGAAAACAAUAUUCUAAGAGGCAGAGCAAGGAAGAAAAAAAAAUAUCAGUAGCCAACAUCUGCAAGCAAUCUUUAACCACAGCUAAAGGCUGCCUCUAAAUUCACAUGUGUCAUGCCCUACUUACCUUUGCUUUAGGCUUAGUAUUAGUUUAGAAAUAACCUGUGAUCUUCCGUAUAUCAUUGUUAUUCCUGAAUGAAGAGUUAGGACGAAGGCUGUUGCAUGCAAAGAGGUUUUCCCCACAAGUUAGAUGCCAUUAAGCAGAAAAUAACUGACAUUUUGGGAAGAUAACGUGGGGCUGCUUUAUGUGCCCUCUGAGUUUUCUGUGACAUACCCCUGCAGCACGCCUGAAAGAGCUUUGUGCCACACGCAUUAAGGUAAAGGUCAUCUGUCCUAAAGUGAUUUCUAUGAAAUAAAAUUGCCUGUUUCCCAAUUUUUAAAAAAAGGUCCAGUUCAUGAAUAUGGCAGAGAAAUGCCAUUACACGCUGAUCAGGAGACCGAGGUAAGCGGCAGGGUACGGUGUGACCUUCACUUCACAUCUGAAAUAAAAGCCUCUUGGGGUGCGGAAGAGGGGCUGGUGAGUGAUGUCCGUGAAACCUGGGGCCGGGGUAUGGCUCUGCUCGGCACUACGCGUGACAUAAGCACCAUGGAGGGGAAAACAGUCAUUUUAAUGUGGCUUGGCAGGAUUUAGCGUCGGAACAAUGACACUGAUGAAAAAUAAAAUGACCAGAUGACACAACACAGCACGAACAGCAGCGACAAGAGGGAUGGAGAGCGCUUUACCUGGGAAUGAGCAGUGAGUGGCACAGCCCUGUCAGGCAGCUCAUCGUGAUCGAAAAUGCGACACAGUCAUGGCAGGGAGAAGGUCAGGAGUUUAUAUGAGACAUCUUCCAUCUCUGGUGAUAUCAGCUACUGAAAAGCAGUUUUGUAUCCCCUGGUAACACCAGGCUCAAGAAACAUUUCACAAAUAAAGGAUCUGGCUGUGAUUACUAACAGCGCAGCGCUCACUUUCGGUUAUCUCCUACCCUAUUUGCUCAUAACCAGGUACGAAAACAUUUCUGCAAGUAACUGAAAAUAAUGGAGAAAUUCACUGAAUUUGGAAGCAAAGUGAGUUAAAGCAAUGAACCGCAGUACAUGUUCUUUAUGCAUGUACAGCAGCAUAAGGAAACUGUGGGAAGCUAAUUUGCAAGCCUGUUUACUGAAUACCUGGAACAACUCCCAUUUCCCAUUUAAAUUAGCUACAGGAAGCCAAGUGUCUAAUUUGCUUCUCCAGUACCUGCUUGUUCCACUCAUUUAUGUCCUUACCCUCACGCAUUUUAGUAGACCAUCUCUCCUGGCAUUUCAGAUGUUUAUUGCUGCAUCUAUAGUCUGUAGUAGCCUCUCCAGGGAAAAAUAAAUGCAGACUGCUAGCACACCGGGCUGGCUGCCUUUGUACCUGCUUUGCACUUCAUGGGCACAAACAGCUAUUUGGAGUUCAGGAGAACAGCAGGUCAGGUUCAUACCAUCCAACAAAUCCCUGGACCAGAACCAGUAUGCAGCUCUUGCAAAAGCAGAGACUUUGAGGAACAGUCUCCGUUUUGCGGUCAGUGCUAAACCUGUUCUGUGUUCGGAGACGUCUGGCUGUCCAGUGCUGAAGCAAACAAUAUAUAAGCAGUGUAAUAGUAGUAUAUAAAAUAAUCCCUUCCACACACACCAGCUUCUCAAGGCUUCUUUCCAACCUCAUCUGCUCAGGGCUAACCCAAGCAGUGAAGAAAGGCUCCCCUGUCACCGAUUUUGCCCUCUCUGUGGAAAAGGAGGGGACAUGGCUUUGGUUGUGAGAAUUGCUCAUGGAAAAUGUCCUGGUUUUAGUCCCUGUGCUCUGGUCUCCAGAGCCUGUGAGCUCGAAACCUCAGCUGUGCGUCUCUAACCAAUUACGGGCUGUGUUAACAUUGCUGCUUGCUUUUCCAGAGGUAGGUUUCUCAAUGGAAAACUGUCAGAAGUGUCAAUAAAUAAUGGCAGUUUUGAGGGCACUGGGCCAAGGUUUCUUCUUGCCUAUGGACAUAGUUUAUAAUAGCAGUUCAUCAUCUGUGGCCUUUUCAUAACCGAAAGUCAACUGGCAAUAUGCUGGUAACGUAGGCAGUGGAAGGCAAGUGCCUCUUGUUUAGCAGUUGAAAACGCCUGUUUACUUGGAGUAAGAUUUGUAAUGGCACAAAUCAUGUGGAGCAGUAUUUUAAAU